rnacentral:misc_RNA from 1 species
GUGGUCAGGUGGCACCUUACUGGUCUCCUGAUACGUCCUCAAUACGCUCAAAGCUAUUAUCCAAAGCAAGCAGGAUCAGUGGGAUAACUCAUGAGGAGACUGAUGUUGAGGAACUUGAAAUGUUGCUUGAGGCGUACUUUGUGCAAAUUGAAAGCACGAUGAACAAAUUGACAACGCUGCGCGAAUAUAUUGAUGACACUGAGGACUAUAUCAAUAUUCAGCUGGACAAUCAUCGAAAU